UUGUAGAAUUAUUCAACUUAAUUAAUCAGUUUCUUGCUGUAUUAUUGUUUAUUUGAUAUAUGUCAGAUUGGAUGAUAUGACUGUGCACAUGCAGAGGCUUAUCCUCCAUCGAAACCAGUGAUGGCUUAUCCUCCACCGGGUCAGGCUUAUCACCACCACCAAACACCACCGCCUGGAUAUCCCACCACCGUGCAAGGUGUCCAAGAUUCUUCACACAUCACAGCUGAUACCAAAAGUAAGGGUGAAGGUUUCUGGAAAGGAUGUGUUGCUGCGAUAUGCUGCUGCUGGGUCCUGGAAUUUUGCUGUGGAUGUUGAUUGUUAAGAGUUCAUUACUGUUAUCAGUUUAUGUGAAAUAAUGAAUACUUUUUUCCCUUUCGUUUUACCUGCUGAGUACUUGUAUGGGAGUUAAUUAAGAUUAAAGAAAAAAAUAACUUUUUAAUUUUCCCCUAAAUUAUAAUCUGAUCAAUUUUCA